GAAUUCAUUUCUGGGAAUGUCACAAGAGGACAUCCCACGGCAGGUAAGGCUUAUGAAAUAUCUGGAUAAAUCACACACACUGCUGCCUGGCUACUUGCCAACAACCACAGCUCCUCUGAAAGCCCUAAGGCUUUAAUGAACCUACAAAAGGCUCCCAUCCCUCCAGAUCUCAACAGAGGUUCUGACUCCUCCACCCCACAUUUUCCCCUGUACAACUGACCAGGGUGUUAAUUCACCUGGUGAAGUUGGUUGGACCAUGCCCGGAAAACCAUGGGUUUGUCAUGGGAGGAUGAGGCAGUGAAUUUUUCGAGCUGGUUAGAUGGGAACAGCUCUGGAAAUCUGAGGGUCCCCCGCUGAGCACCAAGGGACAGGCCCCUGUAGCCUCGACUUUCUGCUCUGUUCUCUUCCAGGUCGGGUUCAUAAGCAGUAUUGAU